GACGAACGCUGGCGGCGUGCUUAACACAUGCAAGUCGAGCGGUAAGGCCCUUUCGGGGGUACGACGAGCGGCGAACGGGUGAGUAACACGUGGGUGACCUGCCCUCAGCUCUGGGAUAAGCCUGGGAAACCGGGUCUAAUACCGGAUAUGACUCCAUGACGCAUGUUGUGGGGUGGAAAGCCUUGUGCGGCUGAGGAUGGGCCCGCGGCCUACCAGCUUGUUGGUGGGGUGAUGGCCACCAAGGCGACGACGGGUAGCCGGCCUGAGAGGGCGACCGGCCACACUGGGACUGAGACACGGCCCAGACUCCUACGGGAGGCAGCAGUGGGGAAUCUUGCGCAAUGGGCGAAAGCCUGACGCAGCGACGCCGCGUGAGGGGUGACGGCCU
rnacentral:rRNA from 1 species